rnacentral:rRNA from 1 species
ACGGACCAAGGAGUCUAACAUGUGCGCGAGUCAUUGGGACUUUGUUUAAGCCUAAAGGCGCAAUGAAAGUGAAGGUCGGCCUCAGCGUCGACCGAGGGAGGAUGGCUCGCGUCACGAUGCGAGCCCGCACUCCCGGGGCGUCUCGUGCUCAUUGCGAGCAGAGGCGCACCCAGAGCGUACACGUUGGGACCCGAAAGAUGGUGAACUAUGCCUGGUCAGGACGAAGUCAGGGGAAACCCUGAUGGAGGUCCGUAGCGAUUCUGACGUGCAAAUCGAUCGUCGGAACUGGGUAUAGGGGCGAAAGACUAAUCGAACCAUCUAGUAGCUGGUUCCCUCCGAAGUUUCCCUCAGGAUAGCUGGCACUCGCUUGAGCGAGUCUCAUCUGGUAAAGCGAAUGAUUAGAGGCCUUGGGGCCGAAACGACCUCAACCUAUUCUCAAACUUUAAAUGGGUGAGAUCUCUGGCUUGCUUGAACGUUGAAGCCACGAGAUUUAUUUUGCAAUGGAUCAGAGUGCCAAGUGGGCCAAUUUUGGUAAGCAGAACUGGCGCUGUGGGA